rnacentral:rRNA from 1 species
CCUACGGGAGGCAGCAGUGAGGAAUAUUGGUCAAUGGACGAAAGUCUGAACCAGCCAAGUAGCGUGAAGGAUGACUGCCCUAUGGGUUGUAAACUUCUUUUAUAUGGGAAUAAAAUGUUCCACGUGUGGGCUUUUGUAUGUACCAUAUGAAUAAGGAACGGCUAACUCCGUGCCAGCGGCCGCGGUAAUACGGAGGAUCCGAGCGUUAUCCGGGUGUAUUGGGUUUAAAGGGAGCGUAGGUGGUUUGUUAAGUCCGUUGUGAAAGUUUGCGGCUCAACCGUAAAAUUGCAGUUGAAACUGGCUGUCUUGAGUACAGUAGAGGUGGGCGGAAUUCGUGGUGUAGCGGUGAAAUGCGUAGAUAUCACGAAGAACUCCGAUGGCGAAGGCAGUUCACUGGACUGCAACUGACACUGAGGCUCGAAAGUGUGGGUAUCAAACAGGAUUAGAUACCCGGGUAGUC